rnacentral:rRNA from 1 species
UAGGGAAUCUUCCGCAAUGGACGCAAGUCUGACGGAGCAACGCCGCGUGAGUGAAGAAGGAUUUCGGUUCGUAAAACUCUGUUGUUAGAGAAGAACAGCGCAUAGAGUAACUGUUAUGCGUGUGACGGUAUCUAACCAAAAAGCCACGGCUAACUACGUGCCAGCAGCCGCGGUAAUACGUAGGUGGCAAGCGUUGUCCGGAUUUAUUGGGCGUAAAGCGAGCGCAGGCGGUCAAUUAAGUCUGAUGUGAAAGCCCCCGGCUCAACCGGGGAGGGUCAUUGGAAACUGGUUGACUUGAGUGCAGAAGAGGAGAGUGGAAUUCCAUGUGUAGCGGUGAAAUGCGUAGAUAUAUGGAGGAACACCAGUGGCGAAGGCGACUCUCUGGUCUGUAACUGACGCUGAGGCUCGAAAGCGUGGGUAGCAAACAGG